UACGGGGGGGGCAAGCGUUGUUCGGAAUUACUGGGCGUAAAGGGCUCGUAGGUGGCCAACUAAGUCAGACGUGAAAUCCCUCAGCUUAACUGGGGAACUGCGUCUGAUACUGGAUGGCUUGAGUUUGGGAGAGGGACGCGGAAUUCCAGGUGUAGCGGUGAAAUGCGCAGAUAUCAGGAGGAACACCGGUGGCGAAGGCGGUUCUCUGGGCCUUACCUGACACUGAGGAGCGAAAGCGUGGGGAGCAAACAGG
rnacentral:rRNA from 1 species